ACUGACUGUGUGGGUAACUCCCUGGGAAUGGGUCAGAUACAGAUUGCAGGAUUCUGAAUUUCCAAGGAAUUAGAAGGAAACUCUGUUUGGAGCCAGAUCUGUUGCCAGGUGAGUGGAUUUGUCUUUGUGAGCUGUUAAUUGCCCACAGAUACAAAUUAGAUAAUUCUUUGUUGCCCAGGGUCGGGGGUUGUCACAUGCUGGUCAUUUUGCAGGGAGGAAACUUUUAUUCUGGUUUCUUCUCUUGCCUGUGGCAGGAGAUUUUUCCUCAGAUCAGCUGCUGCAGAAAGGGCACAGAGUGCAGAGGAGUUCCCCCAAAGACAGCCAGGCCUUGCCCCUCAUCCCUAACCCAGUGGUGUGUCUGGAAGCAGGGGACACAAUCCUUUUCCAGCUCAGCAUCAAUUCCCAGGACCGUGCCUCCAGCCACUACCCCGUUUACCAGAAGCAACAUCUCUACAACAACAACCCAGGCUGGGAUUUCGGACCCUUCCGGAGGCUGGACCACCUGAUCCAGGAGACUCAGCUCAACAUCUCCUGGUAACACCUGCUGUGGGUAACAGUGUGGUGGGCAGGACCUGAGAGUGAGUUUUUGACAGAAUCAGCAGGUCUUUGGUGGUGAAAAUUCCAAAUUUUGCUGUGUUCAGGUCCCUGUGUUUAACCAUCCUCACAGAGGGAGGCUGGAGGAAGCUUGGGUCAGCUGGUACCUUCCUCACUUCUCUCUUCCAGGUUUGCCCAUGUUUUCCUGGAGCCUGGGACAUUUGUCUUCAGGGACAGCUCCGUUCAGGAACGCUUCCUGAUUGUGACAGUGAACAAAGCCAACGUGAGCUGUGACCCUGGGGACGUGUCCUUCCAGCCCUCCUCCCUGUUCCAGCUGGCCAGACACGGCAUUUUGAAGCAGCAGCAUCUGCACUUGGCUCCCAACUGGGCUGCAAUCACAGGUACAGCCAGAACUCUGAGAUACCCACCUUCACCCUCCAUUCUUACCCAUGACCUUUCCUGUCCUCUUUCAGUGUGUUUAAACAAGCAUUUUCUUUGGAAAUGCCACCAGAGCUCUGCUCAACCAGCUUUAAUCCCUUACUCCUGUGGAGCUUCCCAAAGUCCACUGCUGUCUGGCCAAGAACCUGUCUGUGCAGGAGCUGAGGUGCUGAGAGAGGGAAGGAGCAGUCGUGCUUCUCCCCACACCCUGUUUGGAGAGCCCAGGGAGCUGAGGGCUUUGUUUUCCUUGGCUGGAAAGCAGAAAAUGACAGAGUAUUUCCAUGAUAAACCGAGCUGAAAUGAAAUCCAGCAUUUCAAAGUUGACUAAGAGCUAAACACAAGGUCAGGUAAGGUCUCUGCUCCAGGCCAGGUGUGGGUGUGAGUGCUCUGCACACACCAGUCCUUCAGGGGGAGGCCAGGAAACAGCAGAAAUGAAAGUGUGGUGUGCAAGCACAAUCCUGGCUCUAUAAA
rnacentral:lncRNA from 1 species